CUACGUUCUAAAGGGUGGGCUGCAUAUCAGGGCAGAGGGUAGGGUGGCCUCCUGAGUGGGCCAGAAAAAGAAAGCAUCAAGAUGUAAUGGUGAAGUUGAGAUGAUGAUCAGAGUCUUACUUCAGACAAAUCAUGAGUCUCAGAGGAAGUGAUGACAGAGAUGUCUGUGGAAACUAUUGAAGAGGAAGGCUUUGCUAAAUCUUCAUGGAGAGAGUCCUUUCUAUGGAGGAGACAUUAUGCUAGAAUUUUCACACAGAUUAUUUUAUUUAACUCCAAGAACUACUCCAUGAAAUAGGCAUGAUCAUCACCUUCAUUGUUUACAGAGAUUCUGGCUUCCCCACUGUAAGAACUGAAGAUACUGCAGCUGAAUUGAUGUCAUGAAAAGGCCUUCAUUCAAUUAGAGUGGGUAUCUUGUGUGGUCUCUAUUUAAUAACUUCCACUUUUGUACAUUUCAAUUUCUGUACGUGCUCUGAGAUAAACAGCCAGAGUCUU
rnacentral:lncRNA from 1 species